AUUGAACGCUGGCGGCAGGCUUAACACAUGCAAGUCGAGCGGGGGGAGGUAGCUUGCUACCGGACCUAGCGGCGGACGGGUGAGUAAUGCUUAGGAAUCUGCCUAUUAGUGGGGGACAACAUCUCGAAAGGGAUGCUAAUACCGCAUACGUCCUACGGGAGAAAGCAGGGGAUCUUCGGACCUGGCGCUAAUAGAUGAGACUAAGUCGGAUUAGCUAGUUGGGGGGGUAAAGGCCUACCAAGGCGACGAUCUGUAGCGGGUCUGAGAGGAUGAUCCGCCACACUGGGACUGAGACACGGCCCAGACUCCUACGGGAGGCAGCAGUGGGGAAUAUUGGACAAUGGGGGGAACCCUGAUCCAGCCAUGCCGCGUGUGUGGAGAAGGCCUUAUGGUUGUAAAGCACUUUAAGCGAGGAGGAGGCUACUUUAGUUAAUACCUAGAGAUAGUGGACGUUACUCGCAGAAUAAGCACCGGCUAACUCUGUGCCAGCAGCCGCCGUAA
rnacentral:rRNA from 1 species